AGAAGCUGGGUGUGCGGGGAGGGAGGGCUGGCCUGAGGAAGCCAUCUGGGGGACACGGCUGAGGGCCCCAGCCUGCAGCCCCACCCUAUGUGUCUCAGACCCACUUUCUCUUCCCUUGACCGAUUCCACUGCCUGGAUGACAUGGGGCAGGAAGGGGAAGGCUGCCUGCCAUGUGGUAGGAGCAGUGCAGAGGGCGGGGACCUUUCCCAGCUGAGAGAGAUGAAGCCCAGGUUGACCUUGUGGCCGAUAACAGCAAAAUAGGAGCUGACCUUUACCAACCAUUUCCUAAGCAGCAGGCCAAGCGCCAUACAAACUGCCUUAUUGAAGACCCUGGCUCUACUGGAAAACGAAUUCUUUUAGUUGCAUUCACCUCUUGCAAAGUCCUUGGAGGAUGCAGGAAGCUGAACUUCAGGGGAGGCACCAAGAGCGACUACCUAGACCCUCUCUCUCAUAGUUCCAAGGCUGCCCUGCUGUCUCCAUGGUGGGAGUCACCAUCGCUAAGCCCCGUGCACACAGCCUGGAGAGAGAGGUCCGCAGACCCUGACCAAGGUUCUGGGUUGGGAGCCUGCCGACCUGGCGCCUUCUCGUCAUUCGACCCACAGCUCUCCCUCUGGACACUUUUCUAG
rnacentral:lncRNA from 1 species